UGUUAGAGCGAGAUACUUCUGUUUGGCUGCUACUGACCGAAUUUCUUUCAUCUUGAACUGUUGGAUUUGGUUCUUUUCCCUGCUGAACUGAUGAAAGACUAGUACGUUCACUACGAACUGGUUUAUGCUUACUCACCGAUGACUUGUAGUUCUUGAUCCGCGGUCAUGGUGGAUGUGGAAUCACCUCCUUGGAGAUGGACAAGGAGGAACUAACGAUGUUCUUAACAGAUUCGAAGUAAUAGGUUUCCCUGGCUAGUCUUGAAUUUUUUGUCUCCCCUAUGUUUUCAAGAGAAGAUAUUUGCAACAACAAUACUGGAUUGCAGAGGAAGUCGCUUUAUAAACUGUUAAGUCAUAGACUUCCAAAUGGUUUUGUGUGACAAGUCUUUAACUUCUUUUCGUCGAGGUAGUGCUGAUAGACAAAUGAAAGGAAGCCCCAUAUAGCUAAAAUGAUG